CGGUAACAGGUCUUCGGAUGCUGACGAGUGGCGAACGGGUGAGWAAUACAUCGGAACGUGCCUAGUAGUGGGGGAUAACUACUCGAAAGAGUAGCUAAUACCGCAUGAGAUCUACGGAUGAAAGCAGGGGACCUUCGGGCCUUGUGCUACUAGAGCGGCUGAUGGCAGAUUAGGUAGUUGGUGGGGUAAAGGCUUACCAAGCCUGCGAUCUGUAGCUGGUCUGAGAGGACGACCAGCCACACUGGGACUGAGACACGGCCCAGACUCCUACGGGAGGCAGCAGUGGGGAAUUUUGGACAAUGGGCGAAAGCCUGAUCCAGCAAUGCCGCGUGCAGGAUGAAGGCCCUCGGGUUGUAAWCUKCUUUUGUACGGAACGAAAAGCCUGGGGCUAAUAUCCCCGGGUCAUGACGGUACCGUAAGAAUA
rnacentral:rRNA from 1 species